AUUGUAAGAUUUAUUUGUUUUCGUCAGGUUGAUUUAAAGUCUUUAAUUGCAUAUUCUUCUGUUGCUCAUAUAAGAAUGGUUAUUGGUGGAUUGAUGACUAUGAAUUGAUGAGGUUGUGUAGUUUCUCUUUCUCUAAUGGUUGGUCAUGGUUUAUGUUCUUCUGGUUUAUUUUGUUUAUCUAAUAUUAUUUAUGAACGUUUAGGUAGACGAAGAUUAUUAAUUAACAAGGGUAUAAUUAAUUUGAUGCCAAGAAUGGCUUUAUGAUGAUUUCUUUUAAGAUCAUCAAAUAUGGCUGCUCCUCCUUCUUUAAAUUUGGUAGGUGAAAUUAGAUUAUUAAAUAGAAUUAUAUCUUGAUCUUCUUUUAGAUUCUUUGCUUUGAUUUCUUUAUCUUUUUUUAGAGCUGUUUAUACUUUGUAUAUAUAUUCUUAUUCUCAGCAUGGGAAUUAUUAUUCUGGUGUUUAUACUUGUUC